rnacentral:rRNA from 1 species
UACGUAGGGUGCGAGCGUUAAUCGGAAUUACUGGGCGUAAAGCGUGCGUAGGCGGUUCGUUGUGUCUGUGGUGAAAGCCCCGGGCUUAACCUGGGAAUGGCCAUGGAAACUGGCGAGCUGGAGUGUGGCAGAGGGGGGUGGAAUUCCGCGUGUAGCAGUGAAAUGCGUAGAGAUGCGGAGGAACACCGAUGGCGAAGGCAGCCCCCUGGGCUAACACUGACGCUGAGGCACGAAAGCCAGGGGAGCGAACGGG